rfam:Nestor notabilis contig59523, whole genome shotgun sequence.
CCAAAGGCUCUUUUAAGAGCCACCCACUUACUCUCAAAAAGGAGCU